rnacentral:lncRNA from 1 species
CUGGUGCCUGACAAUUCUCCCACUUCCUCCCAGCAGCUCUAGCAUCUUCCUUCCCCAGCCACAGAGGCGUCCCUUCUGAUGUAUUCUGGUUGGUUGAGCCCCAUCAGGCUGUUUCAUCUCCAGCCUUUCUCCCUGGACAGGGGUAGGGAAAGGAGUGCUGGAUUCGGAGCUCCUCCGUCCCUGCGCCGCCUCAUUUUCUCCUUGGGGUCUGGCGCACAGUGGCCAUUGCAAUACACCCUAAAGACUGAAGGAGCCAGCGCAGAGCCAGGAUCCUCCUGUGAGCCAUGGCCCUGGCUGCCCUGCUUAGCCUCUCGGAACCUGGGCCAUCAGGGGUGGUGUCAGAAGUGGGGUUGGAAGUAGAGCUUCUAAUGACCCCCAGAAGUGCUGAGUGACCUAGCGAGGUACCCUCCAGGCCCAUUGUGUCUCUUUCUCUCUCGGAGCAGCUGGGGAUCGUGUGUAUUUUCACCAGGUAAAGAAAGCUUUUUAUGGUUCACUGACUGAGGACAAUCAACCCCUUCACAAUCUAGAACCUGAAGAUUGGAUCUUCUGAGAACAUCAGAGAAAGACUGCCCUUGCCAUCCACACUGCAGUAAACAUCAGAACCGUGAACUUUGGCUUCAUGAUCUCACAACUGAGAAGGAUCCCUCCACAUUCUUGGAAAUAUACACCCAUUGGAACCCGUAAGGUGUCAAACUUUCUCAGUCAGAAGUUGACAUAAGGAAGUCACCAGCUUCGGUCUCCUUUAAAUCUCCAGGCCUAACUUUCUUUUGAAUCUCUGCUCUUCAACCACAAUGACUUAUGUACCCCAAGACCCCUCUACCUCCUGGCUGCCUAUGAUCCUCCUGCACCUAGCACUCAGCAAAGGGUCUGACAUUUAGAUAGCACUCAAUCAAUAUGAAGAAUUUAAAGUGUAGUGACAAGGUGGUGCCCACACUGGAUGGUCUGUAUGCUGUGGUCUCAUCAGGGACCUUUCUCUGCACUGCAUUUUUCCUGAGAAAUCCCAGAGUUCAAUAAAUACCUGUGUAUGUCAGAG